GUGAUCUUCAGCCUCUGGUGUUCUCAGCAGUGACUUUGUUUCUUCAUCUUUAACAUAGCAUUGAUCAAACUGCUCAGGGCCUUUUCUGUCAUUGAUGCUGUGGAGUAGGACAUGUGAAACACAUUCUUACAGGAGGCCCUGUGAAUCCAGUGCCGCCUCUUCCACUCAGGAUGGUGAAAGGGCCCUGCAACAGCUCCUCUCUUGCUGCAGACCAGGGAGCUGUAGCAAUCACACAGCUCAGGUUCAUCUCUUCAGCUAUUCCAGGCCAGAGGGAAGCCUGCUACUGCACUCUGCCUGGAAUCCUCCUCCUCCUUAUUUAAUACAGAUUUUGCUGAAGGUUAAUGUUACCAUUUCAUUUCUAGGUAACAGAAAAUGCAGGUGGGAUUGUGCACAAAUCUUUAUGGUACUUAUGGCACAGAACUGGAAUAUAUCACAGUCUCUGAGGUGCACACAAUGGCUUUCAUUUUCAAAACAGCCACACUAUGUAGCCCAGGUUGGCCUUGAACUUUGUUAUUCCUGUUUCCACCACCUGAGUGCUGCCAUUACAUGUAUGUGCCACCUUGCCUGGCUUAUUGUGUCUCUUUGAGCAGAUGGUAAUAUCAUUUUUUCUGUGAAAAAUAAUUGCAUUGUGAUAAGUAUAAAAACAUUAGGAGAAUAUGGGAGCUUAAAUAUAAAUGCCAAUUAUCAAUGCUAUUAGCUGUACCAGUUAGAGUUUACCCCUUGGCUGCAAACCCCAGCAAAUUUCUUCUCUACCUGUGGCUCUUUGCUACUCUGCCACCAGAGGGCACUGUAGGACGCAUUCUCUCUAGAGGACCAGGGACUAUUCCUGCCUGCUGCCUUCACAGUGCCUCCUUAGGUUUCCUGUGAAGUCCCUGAAACCAGCCACACUUCAUACUGGCCGCUGCAGUUCCCUUCCCUUAGAGGCAGCUGAAUUUAAAUUUCCUAUUUGAAGAGCCUGUUUUAUUAAACAUAACCUUGGAACAUCAGCACCAGACAGUUAUCCGUUCUCAGAAGUCUGCAGUUUCAACUCUCCAGGGGUCCUCUGAGUUUCUCAGCUUUGGUCAUUCCAGUCUCUGUUCUCCUGUCUGCUACUGAGCAUCAUUGUCACACAGGUUCCCCGGCUUCCUGUCUAAAUUGCCUGUUCAAAACCUUUGCUCAUUUUUCUUUUCAGUUUUGCUUACUGGUUUGUUUAUGAACACUAAAUAUUUUUAGCUCAGAUUUUAUUUGCAUUAUAUACAUAUUCUUUUUCAAAAAAUAAAAACUUUUAUUUAUGUGCAUGUUUAUAUGAGUGUAUGUUAUGUGUGUGCUGAUUCCUAUGGAGGCCAGAAGAGAGAGUGGGAUUCCCUGGAGCUGGCUGGAGUUUCAGGUAGUUGUGAACUGCCUGAUAUGGAUGCAGGGAACCAAACUCUGGUCCCAUGUAAGAACACCACUCAACUAAUGAACCAUCUCUCCAGCCCCCACACGCAUAAUCUUAAAAGUUUAGGGAUCAUUUUCCUCUUUGAAUUUUAAAUCUAAUUUUGUUUUUUGGGUUUUUUUUAUUUUGUGGUAGCAGUGUUGGGUUUUUGUGUAGUAGUGGGUUUUUUGUUUGUUUUCCAGGAUAGGGUUUCUCUGUGUAGCCCUGGCUGUCCUGGAACUCACUUUUGUAGACCAAGCUGACCUCAAACUCAGAGGUUCUCCUGCCUCUGCCUCUGGAGUGCUGGGUUAAAAGGUGUGGUGCCACCACCCAGCUCUCUUUUUAAACAUCAAAAGACUGUUUCUCACCUCCCACUAUGUGCCUUCAUCUUGCCUGGUUUCUUCCUUUGGUUUCAUUUUAUGACUUGCAACAACGUUUCUGUCUUUAUAAACUGAGCUGCCAGAAAUACUGUCCCAGUGACUUUAACCUUCCAGUCAAAGCUAUUAAAGGCUGGAGAAAUCAGUUUAGUGGCUCAGUUAAUAUUUUUAAAAACGGAGGAGCUGGAGAGAUG
rnacentral:lncRNA from 1 species